CAGUCACUUGCAUGCUCACAGUGACAGCUGAAAUGUCACAUAAUCUUAUGGUCUGCAGCAGGAUAGUUUGUGGUGUGGUAUGUAUGAGCAGUCUCGUUUACUAAUGGAAACUGCGAGAUAUGAAGGCAAAAAGAGGUGCCUAAGAGGAGGUUUCCAGGAGUGGCAGAGCCUCUCUGGGGGAGGUAAAACCUCGGGGAGGAACCAGAAAAGGAAGAAGCUGGAGCAGGAACAAGCUGGGGGCAAGGAAGGACAGGGCUACGUGUACAUCAUAUGCAGAAAAGAGGCAAAAGCUGUCAGAGAACUACUUCACAGUGAAACAGUUCUUGACUAUUCGGUCAAACUCGGUAUUGGUGUUGCUCUCUUCUGGGCAGGAACUGGACUAACCAUAUUUUUCCUUUUCCUUGUUUCU